CUACGGGUGGCUCCAGUGGGGAAUAUUGCACAAUGGGCGCAAGCCUGAUGCAGCAACGCCGCGUGAGGGACGAAGGCCUUCGGGUUGUAAACCUCUUUUAGCAGGGAAGAAGCGAAAGUGACGGUACCUGCAGAAAAAGCACCGGCUAACUACGUGCCAGCAGCCGCGGUAAUACGUAGGGUGCAAGCGUUGUCCGGAAUUAUUGGGCGUAAAGAGCUCGUAGGCGGUUUGUCACGUCUGCUGUGAAAUUUCGAGGCUCAACCUCGAACUUGCAGUGGGUACGGGCAGGCUAGAGUGCGGUAGGGGAGAUGGGAAUUCCUGGUGUAGCGGUGGAAUGCGCAGAUAUCAGGAGGAACACCAAUGGCGAAGGCACAUCUCUGGGCCGUAACUGACGCUGAGGAGCGAAAGCGUGGGGAGCGAACAGGAUUAGAUACCCUUGUAGUC
rnacentral:rRNA from 1 species